rnacentral:rRNA from 1 species
CAAUAGCGUAUAUUAAAGUUGUUGCAGUUAAAAAGCUCGUAGUUGGAUUUGUGGUGUACUUCGGCGGCCCGUCACUAUGUGAUGGAGCUUGCUGAAGUCGCCAUCCUUUGGUGGAUUCUGUGUGGCAUUAAGUUGUCGUGCAGGGGAUGCCCAUCGUUUACUGUGAGAAAAUUAGAGUGUUCAAAGCAGGCUUAUGCCGUUGAAUAUGUUAGCAUGGAAUAAUAAGAUAGGACCUUGGUACUAUUUUGUUGGUUUGCGCACCAAGGUAAUGAUUAAUAGGGACAGUUGGGGGUAUUCGUAUUUCAUUGUCAGAGGUGAAAUUCUUGGAUUUUUGAAAGACGAACUACUGCGAAAGCAUUUACCAAGGAUGUUUUCAUUAA